rnacentral:tRNA from 1 species
GGUCCUAUAGCAUAAUCGGUUAAUGCAGUCGCCUCAUAAGCGAAUGAAGGAGCGGUUCAAAUCCGCCUAGGAUCA